rnacentral:rRNA from 1 species
UACGUAGGGUGCAAGCGUUAAUCGGAAUUACUGGGCGUAAAGCGUGCGCAGGCGGUUUUGUAAGUCUGUCGUGAAAUCCCCCGGGCUCAACCUGGGAAUUGCGCUUGAUACGGCAGAGCUUGAGGAUGGAAGAGGGUCGCGGAAUUCCCAGUGUAGAGGUGAAAUUCGUAGAUAUUGGGAAGAACACCGGUGGCGAAGGCGGCAUCCUGGACCGGCAUUGACGCUGAGGCGCGAAAGCCAGGGGAGCGAACGGG